rnacentral:rRNA from 1 species
UACGUAGGGGGCAAGCGUUGUCCGGAUUUAUUGGGCGUAAAGAGCGUGUAGGCGGCCUGACAAGUCUGCUGUGAAAACUCGAGGCUCAACCUCGAGAUGUCGGCGGAAACUGUCUGGCUAGAGUCCGGAAGAGGAGAGUGGAAUUCCUGGUUUAGCGGUGAAAUGCGCAGAUAUCAGGAAGAACACCUAUGGCGAAGGCAGCUCUCUGGGACGGUACUGACGCUGAGACGCGAAAGCGUGGGGAGCGAACAGG